GGGGGCGUGGCCUCAACUCCCGGGGCCGCCGCCGAAACUCUGGGGCCGCGCUUGGCCGCAAGUACAAAGCGAGCUGGUGGCCGCUCUGCGGCACGGCCCCGGCGCGCGCCUCCCUGCGGGCCACCACCCCCGCGUCCCCGGAGCCGCCCGAAAACGCCGUUGGAACGCAGAUUCCCGCCUCUCCCCGUCCCCCCACCCCUCCCGCCCUGGCAUGUGUCGGGGAAAUCGGUUUCCCUUUUUCAAAAUGGCUUGGGUCAUCUCAACGGUUUGCGGGUUUCGAAGACACGCCCCAGCCUCCCUGCACCUUCAUCGGGAUUUGACAGGGCAGGUCUCCUUGUCCCCUGCCUGAAGGACACUCCAGCCAUUUCUCCUUUCCGGGCGGGCCCAGGGGCCUCCCAACAGUUUCCUCUGGGACAUUCAAAUGUAGCACAUUGCACUUAAGUAUUUGAAGUAUUUAUAGGCUGAUACAAUGGCCGGGGAAGCUUCGCGCCCCAAGACAGCUCCUCCCGCCACCUACCACAGACUGUAAUUAGAGCGGCUUGGUGACCCGGGCAGGCUGAGGCCAAACCUGCCCCGGUUUCAUGGUUUCAUUCUGGCCUGGCUGGCUGGCUGGCUGCUCCUGGGACGUGCCAAGACCACAGGUUCUUCCACUUGGAAUCGCUGGAGUAUCUCUUCCUCUCUGACACAGUCUGAGUACUGAAGGAAAAAUAGAUAGAUGAUCCAAGCAGGCUGCUUUGGGGUUGAUCGUGGAGGAGGCCAACCUGGAGAACGGUUUGGAUUUGAAUUGGGAAGUUUCUCCACCUUCACAGAUCUUCUAAAACUGCGGGUGUCUCAUGCGGUCAAGUGGAGGUUUGAGUACAUUUCUAAAAUGUACUGCCCCGGCUAAAUGAGGUAGUGCCUGCCAGUGUAGGGGACCAGAAAAGGCUGUGUCUUUGUUAUUAAUGUGCCAGCAUGUCCCACCAUAUAAGCCACAUUUCUCUGAGUGUAGGAUACAAAUUGUCACUUUAUUCCUACCCUAUAGCCUGAUCUACAAGAUCCAUAGAGUUAAUUUUCUAUCGUCCCAAUGCUAUUGACUGUAUCCCUGGCAAAACUCUAACGUGGUCAGGAAUGGUGGUGCAAGCCUGUAAUUUCUGCUACUACAGAGGCUGAGGCAAGAGGAUCCCAAGCUCAGGCCAAUUUUAUGAGACUCUUUUGUCCAAAUAAAAGCAAAAAACGGUUGGAGAUGUAGCUCAGUGGUGGACAGCUUGCUUGCUUAGCAUAAGCAAGAGUCUGAUUUCAGUGCCCAGGACUAUAAAUAAGCGCCCUGAUUCUCAACUUGUAUCAGGCAGUGCAGCCUUUGGCAGGUAGUAAGCACAUGACAAGGAAUCCUCACGAUGGGAUCAAUGCUGAUAUUAGAGGAGAUGGGAUGAAGACAGAUGAUUGCUUUCUGAUAGUGAAAUGGCAGCCUGUCUGGAUCACAGAAACAGCCCUUGACAAGAAUUUGACCAUGGCUAAAGCCCGGUCCCAGACCUCCAGCCUCUACGCCUAGGAAAAAAUAAAUGUUAGUCAUUUAAACUGUCCUGUCUACAGCUUAAAUUCUAUUGUAGCUUAAAUUAAAAUCCAAAGUGAAAACUAAGACCAAAGUAAAAGUUCAGUCUUAAAACAGCCCCUGCAGCAUUGAGAGGUGAGAUGGUACUCUCCACCCCCCAUCCAUUCUGUUUGCAGGGACUUUUGACCCUAGCUAGAGGGAGAUGCACAUAGCCUGUUUUAGCUCUUUGUCUCACUCUCUGAAAUUAAUCACAAAUGGUCCCUGACACGGUGCACUCUGACCUCGACCAUCCGAAUGACCUCCUAUGCUGGUGUCUUGCUUUAACUUAUUUAUUGUUUCAUACAUUCUCUUCUAAAGGAAUAAAUGUUUUGAAGAACCAUAUUUUGACUUUCAUGAGAUUCUGUCAGAACUGAGCAGAAUGCUAUGGACUGAAAAGCUACCCAAAUUGUUACUGAAUAUGAAUGCAUGGUGAGAUUGCCUUUUAGUAGGAAUAUACCAAAAUGAAAAAGGCUUAUGCUACAGUCCACCUUGAACUCUAGUAUGAAGAGUUAUAGAAAGACACUGCCAUCAUCAGUUGUUAAGACUGUGGAACUAUCUCCAAAUAUCCUCAGAGCUCAGAUGCAGUGAGUGUCCAAAAUCUGGUUUCUGGAGCAGCAGCAGAAAAACUUUGACACACUCCACCUCAUCCCAUGCUAUUGAAUGAACACUCCCAGAGGGAAAACCACUUGGUGAGCCUGCUGAUCUCUGCAGAGCUACUUCCUGGACCCCAAAUUCUGGCAUUUUGGAGGUUGGCCAGAGCCUGAGAGCAGAGACCAUUGGUGUGAAGGAACAAGGGAUUCAUCAUGAUGGGAUCCCAUUGCUCGCUCCAGUCAGAGACUGAAGCCAUGGAUACAGAACAAUCAGGCCAAUGAGCUUCCAGAAGACCGGAAGAGGAAGGGAGAGAGAGACACUGAUUUUAACGUGUACUAAACUGGGCACCCACCUAGACUUCAAUCCUCACAGCAAACCUUCAGGCUUUGGCGGUACUAUCUCCCACGUGCAAAGGAGAGUAUGGAAGCACAGAAGGGCCAAGAUACCUGCUUGUGGAAACGCAGCUAAGGCGGAAGACCCAGUUUCUAGGUUGGUGGGUCGUGGAGUCGGAGGGCAAGGGACACCUGAGUUGAAGCAGAAGCUGGAAGAUGCUGAAUCAGAGUUGACUUCUGUUAAGAUCUGCAGCUUUCCCUCCUUCCUUCCUCUCACGCCUACCGCCUCGCCUCCACCCGCCACCCUGCUCCCAGUGCUCCGUAGACCUCCAUUCUCACAUGACAUUGUGACCCUGGGCAUCUCAGAUCCUGGCUAACGACUAGCUCGUCCUCAGCGCCACCACCCCGUCUCCUUUGAAGCCUCUACUGACGCACCAGCUUGCUCUGGCAUUUCUACGUCCUCCAUCCAUCUCCACCGGGCCUCGGCACAGCCCAGAUUUCCAUGAUGUAGUGAGCCCCAAGGAAGAGCCUGACUGCAGAACUGGGAAAAUAUGCACACGGCUGCUCUCAGCUGACCAGAGCCUGGUCCAGCACAUGGCAGCCACUGGUUCAGUACAAAACAACCUUAUCUGCAGUGUGAGUGUGGGUGUGUGAGGUUCCACGAGUCUGACGUCUGUGGUCAGAGGGCUCACCAGCUUGGCCAGGUGGUAUGGCUUUGUAUGGUAUGGGUAUAUGGCCAAUGGUUAGAUGUUUGGGCAUUUGUUUCAGGGAGAGACCUUUCAACAUUCUGGCUCCCCUGUUCCCCAGCUCUGUGCUCUUUGAACAAAUAACUCUCUGAAAACUAAUUUUCCUCCUCUAUCAAACUGAGACAAUAAUGGUCAUUUUAAGGCUGCUUGGGUGGCUGAAUGUGCUUAAAUGCAGCUAUUUCCCUGGGAGGCGAGGGGCAUUAGUAGAGUCGUUCUUGAGGCCCUGCCCAGCUGGCCUGCGCUGGCGGCUGUCACUGACCUCCCUGAUGGAUGUGGUCCUCGUUCUAUUUAGAUUCAGGGAUGGGAUGCUUCCAGAGAGCCCACAGAAGUGGCAGUGGGAGGACAGUAGGUGAUGAGACACAGGGCACACAGAGGCGUGUUUCCAGGUACAUACAGCCUUAGUAACAACCAGCCAGAGUGGCAAAAUCAGAGGACUAUAUGGGCAUGGAAACCUGAGUUGAACUCAGAUCGGGAACACGCAUCCACACACCCUCUCCGGAGCACUGGUGAUGGUUGGUUCGCUUGAUUUUUGUGAACUAGGUGGGUGAAACGACUUCUGGUUGCUCUACUGUGUAUACCUAGAAACAAAGCGCACACCCUCACAGAGAGCACACUCGGAGAGAAGCUACCCGGUGGCUUCAUUCUGCUCGCCUGCCUUUUCCGCUCUGUGAGAAGGCCAGAGUGAGGCUGGGCUCUGCUCUGCUCCAGCUGCUCUCUCGACUUGGACCUGAGACCCACUGGACCUGUCGAGCCAACUUCCCCUUCCACGGUGCCACCUGCUUCUAGACCUUCUUGGCACCUGCAGCACAGCCAGGAGAACGCUCAGCUCUCCUUUCUUCCCCACGGCCUUCACCUCUGCCAUUUGCCAUCCGCCCAAGGAGCUGGGGUGGAAUUGGACAGUAUGUGGGAUCCUUCCUUCUGUCCCGCCUCACAGUCAAAGCACAACACAGAUGGAUGGGCCUACCUGCUCGGUACACCCUGCUUGUGUCUCGGCCCCGGGCUGACCUGUCCCUAAGUCCCUCCUCUUCCCCUCUCACCCUUUAUUCACCGGUCAGCAGCCAGAGGGAUCAGCUCACACUCAUCGAAGGCCCCGUACUUGCAGCCCUGGUUUGCCCUGGCCAGGCUCCCCCCACAACCAUGUCUGCGGUCUCUCUUCCUCUCUGCACACUGCCACAGUGACCUCCUUUUCGCUCCCCGCAGCACAUCCAGCCACCCACCUCGGUUUUGCAUUUGGUUUGCUAGCUGUUCUGCUGAUAAAGGCUGUGCUUGAGAGUUCCCAGCACAAACCAGCCUGAGGCGCCUCUGGGGAUCUCAUCUCCAUUGCCGACUCAGGCCCCCAAAGCGCCUGCAGCCCUCAUUCUCCCCAAGCGGGGAUGUCCCCGCAACCUCUGUCAGGGCUCUGCAUUUUGUCAUUUCUGUUUGCUAUUUAGAGAGACACCUGGCCUGGAGCUGUGGAGUGAGACAAACACAGUGUGGAAAGUCUAGCCGACACUGCCCUGGCUCUGCAGGGAAAGCCACCCCGAGCUAGGUCUCUCAAAACACCGGUGCCGGCACAUGCAUCAAGGAGCAGCUGCUCUCUUCCUUCUCCACCAGGGGCCCAGAGGAGCUCAAGAGUGCCGGCCCAUGUCUUAGGUCACUCUUGAAUUGUCCCUAGGCAAGAGGUGGGGUGGGGGAGUGGCUCUGCCCAGGAGAGGCCUCCUGGGGGGCUCAGCUGCCAGCUCUGCCUGCGAGGGCUGCAUUACCACAAGGGUGACUUCAGCUCUGAGCCUCUCUUCCCAGCCUGUGAAAUGGGUAUAGUUGUGGUCACCUUUCUCAAACAAGUACAAGUAUAUUCACACACACAAGAAGCUCAGGAUAGGCCCCGCACAUAGGAAAUAUUGUGAGGUUUUUGCCACCAGGUUCAAAUCUCAGCUCUGUCUGUCUGUCUGGGUUUAGGUAAGUCGCUUCCUCUCUCUUUUCUCAUAUACAAGAUGGGAUGUUCUUCAUGGUGAGAACAUGGUGAGAGCAUGGUGGAAGCAUGGUGAGAUCCCUAGCCCUUGCGGGAGAGGCUUACUAGAGGCUGGUCCUGUCCCUCCUCCCCCCCUCGCAUCUGAAGCUUGUCUCUGCACUCCGGCACUUCUCUCUCUCUGCUGUCACACUGAAUAAAUGAAUACGUUAAGUUAGUGCACAGACUUUCAGAAUCCAGGCUGGUGCG